rnacentral:tRNA from 1 species
ACGCUGGUGGUUUGGUGGUAGAAAUUUCGCCUUCCAAGCGGGAGACCCAGGCUUGAUCCCUGGCCGGUGCU